AUGAACGCUAGCGGCAGGCCUAACGCCUGCAAGUCGAGGGGGAAGUUACUUUCGGGUGACUGAGACCGGCGUACGGGUGCGUAACGCGUAUACAAUCUGCCUUUCACUGGGGGGUAGCCCGAAGAAAUUUGGAUUAAUACCCCAUAGUAUAUAGGGACGGCAUCGUUUUUAUAUUAAAGCUUAGGUGGUGAAAGAUGAGUAUGCGUUCUAUUAGCUAGUUGGAGAGGUAACGGCUCCCCAAGGCGAUGAUAGAUAGGGGUUCUGAGAGGGAUGUCCCCCACACUGGUACUGAGAUACGGACCAGACUCCUACGGGAGGCAGCAGUGAGGAAUAGUGGACAAUGGUCGGAAGACUGAUCCAGCCAUUCCGCGUGCAGGAUGAAGGUCUUAUGGAUUGUAAACUGCUUUUGUAAGGGAAGAAUAAGGGCUACGCGUAGUUUGAUGACGGUACCUUACGAAUAAGCAUCGGCUAACUCCGUG
rnacentral:rRNA from 1 species